GACGAACGCUGGUGGCGUGCUUAACACAUGCCAGUCGAACGGGAUUUAGUAAACAGAAGCCUCGGUGGAAGAUUACUAAUGAGAGUGGCGAACGGGUGAGUAACGCGUGAGCAACCUGCCUAUGACAGUGGGAUAGCCUCGGGAAACCGGGAUUAAUACCGCAUAAAAUCGUAGAAACACAUGUUUUAACGGUCAAAGAUUUAUCGGUCAUAGAUGGGCUCGCGUCUGAUUAGCUAGUUGGUGAGAUAACAGCCCACCAAGGCGACGAUCAGUAGCCGGUCUGAGAGGAUGAACGGCCACAUUGGAACUGAGACACGGUCCAAACUCCUACGGGAGGCAGCAGUGGGGAAUAUUGCACAAUGGGGGAAACCCUGAUGCAGCGACGCCGCGUGAACGAAGAAGGUAUUCGUAUCGUAAAGUUCUGUCCUAUGGGAAGAUAAUGACAGUACCAUAGAAGAAAGCUCCGGCUAAAUACGUG
rnacentral:rRNA from 1 species